rnacentral:rRNA from 1 species
CCUACGGGCGGCAGCAGUGGGGGAUAUUGCACAAUGGAGGAAACCCUGAUGCAGCGACGCCGCGUGUGGGAAGACGGUCCUCUGGAUUGUAAACCACUGUCCCCAGGGACGAAGCUGACGGUACCUGGUGAGGAAGCUCCGGCUAACUACGUGCCAGCAGCCGCGGUAAUACGUAGGGAGCGAGCGUUGUCCGGAAUUACUGGGUGUAAAGGGAGCGUAGACGGUGAUGCAAGUCUGGAGUGAAAGGCUGGGGCCCAACCCCCGGACUGCCCUGGAAACUGUGUAACUUGAGUGCAGGAGCGGUAAGCGGAAUGCAUAGUGUAGCGGUGAAAUGCGUAGAGAUUAGGAGGAACACCAGUGGCGAAGGCGGCUUACUGGACUGUAACUGACGUUGAGGCUCGAAAGCGUGGGGAGCAAACAGGAUUAGAUACCCGUGUAGUC